AUGUCCUGUGUUGCAGUGUCCCCGACCAGCCCCAGCCUCUUCCCACUGAGCCUCAAGAGCACUGACUCAGCCGACCACGUGGUCAUCGGCUGCCUGGUCCACGGCUUCUUCCCACUGGGGCCCAUGAAUGUGACCUGGAGCCACAGCGGGGAGGGCACUUCCAUCAGGAACUUCCUCCCAAUGAAAACCUCCGAGGGCCUGUAUACCAUGACCAGCCAGCUGACCCUGCCAGCCAACCAGUGCCCAGAAGGCGCCACCCAGAAGUGCCAAGUGCAGCACAACUCCAGCCCCAGCCAGACCAAGGACGUGCCCUGCAGAGAUAAGAAGUGUCCCGACUGUACAGCCUCAUGCUGCCAGCCCAGCCUGACGCUGCACCGGCCGGCCCUCGAGGACCUGCUCCUAGGCUCCAAUGCCAACCUCACGUGCACGCUGAGCGGCCUGAAAGACCCCCAGGGUGCCACCUUCACCUGGAAGCCCACAGGUGGAAAUCAUGCCAUCCAGGUGACCCCUCAGAGUGACUCCUAUGGCUGCUACAGCGUGUCCAGUGUCCUGCCAGGCUGUGCAGAGCUGUGGAACAGUGGGGAGAAGUUCACAUGCACCGCCAGCCACCCCGAGGUCAAGAGCCCACUAACCACCUCCAUCGCCAAAAACUCAGGAAGCCUCGUCCCACCCCAGGUCCACCUGCUGCCGCCACCGUCAGAGGAACUGGCCCUCAACGAGCUGGUGACCCUGACAUGCGUGGUGCGGGGCUUCAGCCCCAAGGACGUGCUGGUGCGAUGGCUGCAUGGAAACCAGGAGCUGCCCAAAGAGAAGUUCCUGACAUGGGAGCCCCUGCCGGAAGCCAACCAGGGCAGCACCAGGUUCGCCGUGACCAGCGUGCUGCGCGUGGGCUCUGAGGACUGGAAGAAUGGGGAUAAUUUCUCCUGCAUGGUGGGCCACGAGGCCCUGCCCCUGAGCUUCACUCAGAAGACCAUCGACCGCUUGGCGGGUAAACCCACCCAGGUCAAUGUGUCCGUGAUCUUGUCAGAGGUGGACGGCACCUGCUACUGA